AAACAGAUUGAACGCUGGCGGCAUAGGCCACCAUACAAGAUCAGGCAAUGUGAAAACGCUUUACUGUUCGCUGACGAGAGAAGCGGACAGGUGAGUAAUGUCUGGAAACUGCCAGAUGGAGGAUAACUAAACAGUAACUAUUAUACGUCGCAAGACCAAGAGGACCUUCGGGCCUCUGCCAUCAGAUGUGCCCAGAUGGAUUAGUAGUGGGGUAACGGCUCACCUAGGCGACGAUCCCUAGCUGGUCUGAGAGGAUGACCAGCCACACUGGAACUGAGACACGGUCCAGACUCCUACGAGGAGGCAGCAGUGGGGAAUAUUACUAAUGGGCGCAAGCCUGUAUAUGCCGCGUGUAUGAAAAGGCCUUCGGUUGUAAAAGUACUUUGAGGAAGGAGACAAAGUUAAUACCUUUGCUCAUUGACGUUACCCGCAGAAGCACCGGCUAACUCGUGCCAGCAGCCGCGGUAAUACGGAGGUGCAAGCGUUAAUCGGAAUUACUGGGCGUAAAGCGCACGCAGGCGUUUGUUAAGUCAGAUACGAAAUCCCGGGCUCAACCUGGGAACUGCAUCUGAUACUGCAAGCUUGAGUCUCGUAGAGGGGUGAAAUUCAGGUGAAGCGGUGAAAUGCGUAGAGAUCUGGAGGAAUACCGGUGGCGAAGGCGGCCCCUGGACGAAGACUGACGCCAGGUGGCGAGCGUGGGAGCAAACAGGAUUAGAUACCUGGUAGUCCACCGUAAACGAUGUCGACUUGGAGGUUGCCCUUGAGGCGUGGCUUCCGGAGCUAACGCGUUAAGUCGGCCGCCUGGGGAGUACGGCCGCAAGGUUAAACUCAAAUGAAUUGACGGGGCCCCACAAGCGGUGGAGCAUGGUUUAAUUCGAUGCAACGCGAAGAACCUUACCCGGUCUUGACAUCCACGGAAGUUUUCAGAGAUGAGAAUGUGCCUUCGGGAACCGUGAGACAGGUGCUGCAUGGCUGUCGUCAGCUCGUGUUGUGAAAUGUUGGGUUCAAGUCCCGCAACGAGCGCAACCCUUAUCCUUUGUUGCCAGCGGUCCGGCCGGGAACUCAAAGGAGCCAGUGAUAAACUGGAGGAAGGUGGGAUGACGUCAAGUCAUCUGGCCCUUACGACCAGGGCUACACGUGCUACAAUGGCGCAUACAAAGAGAAGCGACCUCGCGAGAGCAAGCGGACCUCAUAAAGUGCGUCGUAGUCCGGAUUGAGUUGCAACUCGACUCCAUGAAGUCGGAAUCGUUAGUAAUCGUGGAUCAGAAUGCCACGGUGAAUACGUUCCCGGGCCUUGUAUACACCGCCCGUCACACCCGGGAGUGGGUUGCAAAAAGAAGUAGGUAGCUUAACCUUCGGGAGGGCGCUUACCACUUUGUGAUUCUGAGGGGUGAAGUCGGAACAAAACAAGCCAGGAACCUGCGGUUG
rnacentral:rRNA from 1 species